UUCUCCUACGGGGGGCAGCAGUGGGGAAUAUUGCACAAUGGGGGAAACCCUGAUGCAGCGACGCCGCGUGAGUGAAGAAGUAAUUCGUUAUGUAAAGCUCUAUCAGCAGUGAAGAAUAAUGACGGUAACUAAGGAGCAAGCCACGGCUAACUACGUGCCAGCAGCCGCGGUAAUACGUAGGUGGCAAGCGUUGUCCGGAAUUACUGGGUGUAAAGGGAGCGUAGGCGGGAAGCCAAGUCAGCUGUGAAAACUACGGGCUUAACCUGUAGACUGCAGUUGAAACUGGCUUUCUUGAGUGAAGUAGG
rnacentral:rRNA from 1 species